rnacentral:lncRNA from 1 species
AAUUAUGAUUUUAUGAAGGACCUUCUCGUAAAACUGCGCUUUGCCAAUAGCACAGUGAAUGUAUGCCAAAUAUAAAUCUAUUCCAAAAUCCAUUUGGAAAUCUUGAGCUCAGCUGUGGUUCUAUAAGAAAUGUUUGCAGUCCAUAGGGCCUUUUUUUCCCUCUUUCCAAUUUGUGAUAAAUUCAUGAUGUUUACAGCACAGAUAAUACUUUGUGCCAUAAUCCUAACUUAGCUGAAAGAAAAAUGUUAUCUGUUCAAUAAAGAUUUAUUUGCAUGUAUGUUAAUAAACCAGCGUGAGGGAAAUUGCACUUGGCCAAUAUCAUAAAAGUUGCACACUGCAUUAUUUGGGGAGGAAGAGAAGGCUAGUCAAGAAAUAUGAUUAAAAGAAAGGUGAUGACAAAGGACUUUGAAAAAAUUUAACAUACUGUAUUCAGAGAUAAUAUUGAGUUCAUUCAGGUAGUUCAGGUGAUAAUAAAGCACUCCUUAUUUAUGAAACCAGAACUUUAGGGUGUGAAUAACUGAAGAGAUAUAAAAUCAUAUGACUCAAUGGGUGCACCACUGGAAAAUUAUCAGUAAGACAUUUAAUUAAGGUCUCUACCAUGAUUGAAUUUCCUUCUUAGCUCAGAAUUGGAUUUUGGAAUCUUGCCCUUAUUUGGGUGAAUACAGACAGCAACAAAAUUGGUAGAUUUUCUAAUCCUAAAAGAUUUCACCUGAUAGAACCUUAGGAAUAGCCACUCUCCCAUACCAGGUGCCCCCAGUGUGCACACAUGCACUCUUAAAGCUGUCCUUGUGUUCUAAUUUAGCAGUCAUCUCUGGCAGACCUGGAAAAACAAGCUGCACUUAAUAGCAAAAUGAAACCAAAGGCAUAAUAACUCAUCAGUUUUCCAUCAAAAUUAUAAUUUCACACUCUACCUACAACUUUGAAGACGUUUUUUCCUAUGUGGAAAAUUCUCUAAAAAAUAUCCACUCGUCUCACAGUAAACGUGGCUAUGUAAUUACACUGAUAAAACAUCUCUCCUACAACAACUGUGGCAAAACUGUGAAAAUCAUGGUGAGAAAGCAGAUGGGCUUAAAAGCAUUAACCUGAAAACAGCAUUCUUUAACGGCUUUUGUAACACUGGUGCCUGUCAGUCUCCCCUAACAGCCUGUCAGUCCCGCUGUUCUUUCAUAUGCCAGUGCCUGUGCCUUUGUAUGGUUUCAUAUCUCUUUAGUGAUGGUCAACCCUACUGGUAGUAAGUAACCAUUUAGGGGAAUAAUAUAUAUACUGCUUGGUGUUCUAGCUAAAGGUUUACCAGUAUUCUUAGUGAUAUGCUGAAGUGGCAGCAAUUAACUUGGCAGUUGUCAGUUGAGAAUGAAAGUAGCAUGUAUGAAAACAAUUUGAUGCUUUAUUAAAACCAUGUAGAUGACUUUAAAACUAUUGCAUGACCAUCCGUCCAGGUUACUGAGCUGUUAUCAUACAGUAGAUGCAUGGUUCCAGUCCUUUGGUGAUAUAUCUAGUAAAUCAUUGUUUUCACCUGCCAGGAAAAUGAGAAACCAGUCUGUUUGAAAGGUGUAGAGGGUGGGAUAUGAGACAUCAGAGACUGAUUUUAAGGAAGUUUUGUUAUGUGUUCAUUUCUGGUUGUGCACAAGUUUCAUACGCCAACAUAGGCUAUAUUCAGUUUUUAAAAUAAGCAAACUUAUUUGACAGUGAUAAAUUUGGUAUAUUUAACUGUGUCCCAUAUAUAGACUACUACUUGCCUGUGACCAGUUUGAAUAAGAAUUCAGUCACCUUUCAAGGUGCCUUUUCAGCAGGAUCUCGCGGUCAGCCUGCUGUGACAGGCCAUCGGCGUUUCAGUGGUAGGACACGCAGCGGCUGGCGCCCGCCUGCCAAGGCGCCUGUGCUCUUUGGAUCAGUUGUUGUACAUCUUGUUUCGAGUAAAAAGUUGUUUUCUUCAAAUACGACUAGUUUGAUGUAUCUGGUAACACAUAGACCUGACUCUACAUUUUACGUCAUUUCGCUGUUUUGGAAACUGGGUUUUUAGAAAGCACAUCUGCCGUUUUGUUAAAGUACAUUGCCCCUUAAAUCUUGGAGUAGGUCUUAAAUGUUUAAAGUGGUAAUAGAGGAGCCAGAAACUUUCUGAACAUUGUAAAAUGUUUCGAAUUGAUAGUGACCUUGUUUGGGAGAGUGUGGAGGCAGGGGGUUUUAAAGAAACAAAAGAAAUGCAUUGUUAAAAAAAAAAAAAAGGGUAGUUUUAGAGCAGAUUUAAUGAUGGUGGGGAAAGUGUUGUUAAUUUGUUUGUUUAUUUCCCUAAAAGAAAUGGGAAGUGUGACGAGCAGUUUAAUAAUUUUUAAGGAGCUGGUCUCAAUUUAGUACUUUUUAAUUAUUAAAAGAAAUAAAUGUUUCCUUAUAUCCUGUCAUUGCUUUUCCCAGUUAUCUAGGGUUCAUAUCCAACUUUCUGUGGAAACUCAAUUUUAUAUCGUAUUUUGAAAGGUAAUUGUAAUGUCUUUGACAGUAUAUAAACAAAAGCAAGAAUAUAAGGCAUAAAAAAUGAUGUAUCCUGGAAUGUGACGAUGUCCCUUUAUAGUUAAAGUUGAUUUAUUUUAAUAUUGUAAUUAUUGUUCAGACUUUGAAUGAGUCCAUGUUACAGUGUGUCUGUAUAUCUGUAGAGAAAGAAAAAUGACAAUUGAAAUAUUACUUUAAAAAAUCAGAAUAAAUUGGGCACUGUCUGUGUUGCACCACUACUGUAUCUGUUUGAAAGAAUUAACAGUAUUUUCUUAUUGUAAAAGUUAAUUCUGAUGACGUUUUCACAUUCACCAGACAUGCAUUUUUUUUUCUGUAUUAUUUGCAUCCCCAAAUAUUUAAUACGAGUAGAUUUUGCAUGGCUUGGGCAUUCAGAGAUUAAUAGAAUGAUGACUGAAUUUUAGUUUCUAAAGCCAUGAAAUAUUGCUUUGAGACUGAACAAUUCUGAUUCUUAUUUAUAAUGACACCCAAUGUCCAUGUUUCUCUACUGUAAAAGAAUUGAUCAGUUUCUUCAUUAAAACAGCAAGAACUUAUUAAAUCUUGUAAAUACCAGUCUCUUUCAGAUUUCUGUGUAUGCUGUGAAUCAAAUUAUUUUGAGGUGAAAUUGUACAAAGCAUUUUAAAUUAGGCUAUGCAUGCAUCGUACCUCCAAACAGUACAUAUUCGGAAAGUCAGAUUCCUGCAAAAUAAAUUAAUAAACUAAAAGCAAACACUACAUUCUGCAUCUUUUCUGUGUAGUUAGAGAUGAUUUAUAGUAUCAAACCAGCCCUAGUUCCAACAUUCAUAUUUCUGGACUGAAAUAUGCUGUCUCAGAAACCUAAUCUUUCUGCUCCUCUCUUAGAACGUGUAGUAAUGUUAGAUUUGGGAUAUUUAGUGUAUGUUAAUUCAAAAAUUGGGCAAAAGUAUAUUUAAACAAAUUUUAUAUAAAAGGUGGAAUAUGUUAGGAAC